rnacentral:sRNA from 1 species
GGCCGCCGCCCACGCCACCGACGGGGCUCGGCCAUGAGUUCGGCGCCGGCCUCAGUCUUGGUGCGCGCGCGCUACCUUGUGUACUUCCAGUAUGUGGGCACCGACUUUAAGAGGCCGCCGAGCGGCUGAAUUCUGUGGAGCCGGUCAGGUUCACCAUCUCCAGCCGCACGGACGCCGGGGUCCACGCCCUGAGCAACGCGGCGCACCUGGACGUCCAGCGCCGCUCAGGCCGGCCGCCCUUCCCGCCCGAGGUCCUGGCCGAGGUCCUCAACAGACACCUGCGGCACCCGGCCAUCAGGGUCCUGCGGGCCUUCCGAGUGCCCAGCGACUUCCAUGCUCGCCACGCAGCCACGUCCCGGAUCUACCUGUACCGCCUGGCCACUGGCUGUCACCGGCGUGAUGAGCUGCCGGUGUUUGAACGCAACCUAUGCUGGGCUCUCCCGGCAGAGAAGCCGCGCAGCACCUCCUCGGCACACAUGACUUCAGCGCCUUCCAGUCCACUGGCAGCCCGGUGCCGAGCCCCGUGCGAACGAUGCGCCGGGUCUCCGUUUCCCCAGGCCAGGCCAGCCCCUUGGUCACCCCCGAGGAGAGCAGGAAGCUGCGGUUCUGGAACCUGGAGUUUGAGAGCCAGUCCUUCCUGUAUAGACAGGUGCGGAGGAUGACGGCUGUGCUGGUGGCUGUGGGGCUGGGGGCUUUGGCACCUGCCCAGGUGAAGACGAUUCUGGAGAGCCAAGAUCCCCUGGGCAAGCACCAGACACGUGUAGCCCCA